CCUACGGGAGGCAGCAGUAGGGAAUAUUGCUCAAUGGGGGAAACCCUGAAGCAGCAACGCCGCGUGGAGGAUGAAGGUUUUCGGAUUGUAAACUCCUUUUGUUAGAGAAGAUAAUGACGGUAUCUAACGAAUAAGCACAGGCUAACUCCGUGCCAGCAGCCGCGGUAAUACGGAGGGUGCAAGCGUUACUCGGAAUCACUGGGCGUAAAGAGCGCGUAGGCGGGAUAGCAAGUCAGAUGUGAAAUCCUAUGGCUUAACCAUAGAACUGCAUUUGAAACUGUUAUUCUAGAGUAUGGGAGAGGUAGGUGGAAUGCUUGGUGUAGGGGUAAAAUGCGUAGAGAUCAAGAGGAAUACUCAUUGCGAAGGCGACCUGCUAGAACAUAACUGACGCUGAUGCGCGAAAGCGUGGGGAGCAAACAGGAUUAGAUACCCCAGUAGUC
rnacentral:rRNA from 1 species